rnacentral:rRNA from 1 species
AUAUUGCACAAUGGGGGGAACCCUGAUGCAGCGACGCCGCGUGAGGGAAGACGGUCUUCGGAUUGUAAACCUCUGUCUUUAGGGACGAAAAAAUGACGGUACCUAAGGAGGAAGCCACGGCUAACUACGUGCCAGCAGCCGCGGUAAUACGUAGGUGGCAAGCGUUGUCCGGAAUUACUGGGUGUAAAGGGAGCGUAGGCGGGGAGACAAGUUGAAUGUUUAAACUAUCGGCUCAACUGAUAGUCGCGUUCAAAACUAUCACUCUUGAGUGCAGUAGAGGUAGGCGGAAUUCCUAGUGUAGCGGUGAAAUGCGUAGAUAUUAGGAGGAACACCAGUGGCGAAGGCGGCCUACUGGGCUGUAACUGACGCUGAGGCACGAAGGCCAGGGGAGCGAAAGG